CCCGCGGUAGCUCAGCUUGGUAGAGCUUCCGGCUGUAGACCGGACUGUCGUCGGAGAGUUGUAGGCGUCCAAAGCCUCUACUCGGCGUAUUCAAAUCCGACCCGCGGGA
rnacentral:tRNA from 1 species